ACUUAAAUAGUUUAUAGUAAAAUAUUGAUUUGUGGGAUCAAGGAUGUAAUAGUAAAUAGAUUACUUUGGGUU
rnacentral:tRNA from 2 species